CAACCCUAGAUACGCUUUCCUUCUCCCCGUCCCUCCCCGCUGCGCCGCCAAAACAUAAAUCCGCCGCCCUCUCCCUCCUUAAACCCCUCUCUCUCUCUCUCUUCCUCCGGCGGCCUGCUUCUGCGAUCUGUGCUGCGGAUCUGCAGAGGCUCCGCGAUCGGGCGCAGACCAGCGGGACCAGUUGACAUGGCGCUCGUGAGUUCCUUCUCCCUUCCUCCUCCGUGUUUUGUUCCUGCUGCUUCGGUCUGCUUUGUAGUUCAUCACGCAUCGCGAGUGCCUGUGGGGAUCUGUGGGGGCGUAUACAUAGUUUGGUUGGGCGAUGCACGGUGCUAGUGGUGCCAUUCAUGUUGCUUGUUACUAGUAGAACGGCUGGCUGUGCAUUUGUAAAAGGUGUGAUCAUGGUAAUUUUGGCGAGGGAAUUUCUUCGUGGACAACCAUUUGCGCACAUCUAAGUCAAUCAUGUAUUUGAGCUGUUGGAUUCGUUUAAGAGAAUAUUAUUCCAACCCAAGUGAUUUUAAGGCUCCGAUCCAUAGUUCUAUUUGGGUUGUAAGUUGUAAGAAACUUGCUGUAUUGGUCGGUGAAGGAAAAGCAGGGUGUUUUAGGGUGGUUAUUAUCAUGAUGCAGCGCAGCUGGCGAUAAGUAAAGAUGAGGAAUUGAAGUUGGGUGAUGAAGCAUGACCAUGUUGAUGUUUAUUGAUAAUUUAGCCAUUGUAUGGGAACUCAUAUCUAGUACUGUUUGCUAUUGUAGUUCUCUCCCUGCACAUGCCUUUACUUAGUUGCAUUGCUAAAACCGUAUUUCUUUGCUUAAUCUGUAUGAAAAAGGCUCCUCUAUCUUGUUGGGAAACAGAGAUUUCAUUGAAUGCUUGAGACUACAAACACUCGAUCUGGACACUUGUGUGUUUGCUUAUGUAUUUGUCCCUACUAGUGAAACACGUGUUUUGUGGUUUAUGUAUAUGUUCUGUUUCUUUCACUUAGAUAAGGGUCUAGAUGUCAUUGCUUGUCUUUGUACUGUUUGAUUACCAUCCAAAGUAUCAACUUGUAACACAAUAUGUCUGUAUUUUUUGUUCCAUAGGUAUUGCAUUCUUUUCCAGGAAACAAGAAUGCCUACAAGGCGCUUAUUGCUGCAGAAUACAGUGGGGUCAAGGUUGAGUUGAACAAGAAUUUUGAGAUGGGUGUCUCCAACAAGACCCCUGAGUUUCUUAAGAUGAACCCCCUUGGGAAGGUACACCAUACGCCAACUAUAUCUUUGAAACAGUUAUGUAUAGAUGUUCAGGAACUAAAACUUUUGUUCAGGUGCCGGUUUUGGAGACUCCUGAUGGUGCUGUUUUUGAGAGCAACGCUAUUGCACGCUAUGGUAUAUAUUUCGUGUUUUAAUCCUAAUUCUUUCAUCUACUUGCUGCUGCUGAUAACCAUGGCUCUGUUUUUUCUUUAAGUUGCUCACUUGAAGGAUGACAACCCUCUUUUUGGAUCUUCUCGUAUUGAGCAAGUGAGUGAUUUAUUUAUGUUAACACAGCUCGACUAGUAUUAGUGUGCAUAACCUCUGAACCUCAUCAAUGGUUCUUGCAGGCCCAUGUUGAGCAAUGGAUAGACUUUGCUGCCACAGAAGUUGAUCCUGGUAUUGCACGGUACUUGUACCCAAGGCUUGGUUUCAUGCCUUAUGUUCAGACGGUAAGUUGUAGGAUGUGUAACUCGGAUAUUGUAUAGAUCUUUAAAUAGCUAUAGUCUAACUUUCUUGCUUAUGCAGGCUGAGGAAACAGCUAUUGCCUCAUUGAAGAGAGCGCUUGGUUCUCUGAACACACACCUUGCCUCAAAGACGUUCCUUGUUGGGCAUUCUGUUACUUUAGCUGACAUUGUAUUGACAUGCAACCUCUACACUGGAUUUAUGUAUAUCCUGACCAAGAGCUUCACAUCUGAAUUCCCUCAUGUUGAGAGGUAUUUCUGGACCAUGGUUAACCAGCCUAACUUCAAGAAGGUCAUCGGCGAUGUCAAGCAGGCAGAGUCAGUGCCUCCUGUUCAGAAAAAGGCCGCUCCUCAGCCAAAGGCAAAGGAUGUCAAGAAAGAAGCCCCAAAGGAGGCCCCGAAGCCAAAGGUGGAGGCACCAGCAGAAGAGGAGGCACCAAAGCCGAAGCCGAAGAAUCCUCUUGACUUGCUGCCACCAAGCAAGAUGAUCCUCGAUGACUGGAAGAGGCUGUACUCAAACACAAAGACCAACUUCCGUGAGGUUGCCAUCAAAGGUAUCUUCUCCACCUUAUAUCAACAAUAUAUUAUUUUUUUCCUUCCAAUCUUUGAAUGUGAGUGGCUGGUGCUGUAGUCUCGUUUGCAGUCUAUCAAUGUUAUGUUACAUUGACACUAGCUAGAGAAUUGGGACUCCCCUCUAAAUUGGGUGCUUCAUCCUGAUAAAAAUCUGGAUGUGGCCUUAUGAUCAAAUAUAUUGUUGUUUUAGACAGAAUGUAUGGUCUUAUACAUUUUACUUGAGCCAACAACAGAUAGCUGCAAAGAUCUACACCAAUCCAAACUCAGUGGUAACAAUAGUUGUGUAUCAUGUAAGCACUAAUAAGAAGAAUACUGAAUUUUAGUUUGCAACAGCAGUUUACACUUAUCUUAGUAAAUUAAUUAGAUGAAUGUGCUAAUUUCAUUCUUCCACGUCUGUGGAACUUUUACCAAAGAAGCUUAUGUGCUGUCUGUGUUUCAGGUUUCUGGGACAUGUAUGACCCAGAGGGCUACUCUCUGUGGUUCUGUGACUACAAGUACAAUGAUGAGAACACCGUCUCCUUUGUGACCAUGAACAAGGUUGGUGGGUUCCUGCAGCGGAUGGACCUGUGCCGCAAGUACGCCUUUGGCAAGAUGCUCGUGGUCGGUUCUGAGCCCCCCUUCAAGUUGAAGGGGCUCUGGCUCUUCCGUGGCCAGGAGGUCCCCAAGUUUGUCAUGGAUGAGGUCUAUGACAUGGAGCUCUACGAGUGGACCAAGGUGGACAUCUCGGACGAGGCACAGAGGGAGCGUGUCAGUGCCAUGAUCGAGGACCAGGAGCCCUUCGAGGGUGAGGCCCUGCUUGAUGCCAAAUGCUUCAAGUGAGGUUGCACUUACCUAGAGAGAACUGUUUAGGCUUUGGGUCGGAUGUUUAUGGAAGAGUUUGCUUGUUACUUCUGUCUAUGUUGACCUGUUAUACUCAUGAGUUGUGGUUGGUUAAAUUUUGGGCUAUCCUGUGUUCUUUAGUAUUUGAUUGGGCUAUCUUUCAAGUCAGUAAUCUGGUGCUGUUGUCUUAUGUGACUGUUGGAUUAUUGGACUAGUAGUGCUUAGCUUAUUUUUAACAUUCCUAGUUGCAAUUGCAAGACAGCAAGAACAAGCGUCGUAGGAGUAGCUUUUGUUUUGCUUGUGUUUGAGCUCCAUGUAUUGAAACUGUUCUAGUGGUUUCACACUAAAAUGGUUGUGAAAGUCAGCACGGCUUUAGCCGAUUCAUUUGUUUCGCGAAAGCCUUCUUCGGUUAGAGGUGAGACAUGUGAUUAUUUCACAUUAUCAUUGGUGGGAAAGCAUAUGGACUAGGAGGCUACUAAGCAGGGAGGGGUCUCCGGAUAAGCCUUGGUCCAGACCCCUCCCCGCUCUCUUAUCUUCCUCACACCGCUCUCUUAUCUUCCUCACGUUGUUCCUGUCUUCCUCGGUUCCUCCGCAUGCCUCUCCCCCGCCUUGCCACUAGCAUCCCCUCGUCGACGUCACCUCCGUUGCCGGCGAGGACCGUCCUCCCCUACCCUCCCCUACCACCUCUGCCUCUCCCUCCUAUUCCUCCCACACUCUUCUCCUUCAGGAUGAGCUCCCCACCUCUUUCGGGUCCGGCGGCGUUGCCUCGAUGACCGCUCCCACCCUAAUCCAACCAAAGCAAUAAGCCCCAAACCCAACCGCCAUCCUCCACCACCGUGGUGGGUGGCGCCACCGCCGUCCCGCCCACACACCGACACCACCGUUGGUCCGACAACCUCCCCCGACCAUCCCUUUAGACCCGGCAGGAACGGACCACCUCCCCAACCCCAAACCUCGAAACCUUAACCCCAACCCUAAGCCCUAACACGAAGGUUGCUGGAGUUGGAGGUUGCCAGAAUUCGAGCUGCCGAUCGAUGUGUGAUUUGUUACUUCUUCGAUUCGAUUGUUACCUAUUCUUCACUUUUCCCUCUUUUGGUCCUUGUUUCUUACCGACGUAUUUUGUCCUUCCAAAACAGGAGGGCUCUCGGUUUAAGUCUAAAUUGAGAGGCCUCUCCCUGCAGAUUAUGCGUAUGGACUAAUCGCACCAUUGACAACAUGAGAUUGUGCAAGGACAAUGUGCAAGCAUAGUGAUUUGGAAAAGGCAUCAAUUUUAUCAAUAGCACUGAAACAGCAACAUUUUACUAGUGAUGGUGAAAAUCAGCAAUAUAUGGGUUUACAGAGAACAAUUCUCCAAAGAAAUAAAGGAUAGCCCAAAAUAAACAGCACCAAUUCCUAGUUUCACGCCAUUUUUGCAUCCCCGGCUAGUAGAUGAAAGCAUAUUCUUGUUACGUUCUGAUGAAUGGUACUCUUCCAUUAUAGUCGACAUGAAUUAUUGCGGCGAUUUGAGAAUCACUUUUGACGCCUCAUGCUCGACGAUUUUGUGUAUGGUUCAGGGUGGACUGCACAAUGAACGUACAAGUUGCAAACAGAAUUACUUAAGAUCAAGAUGGGUGCCACUGUUCUAGAAACAACAUUAGUUGCAAACAAGCAAAUGAGAAAUCAAGCAAUACUCAUGCAGAUGUGAUCAAGCUUUAUGUAUUUCUUUUUCUUUAUAUGACCAAGUUGUAGAACUUCGAAAUGUCUUUAACUCUACUCCCUCCGUUCCAAAUUGUAGGUCAUUUUAAUUUUCCUAGAUAUAGUAUAUAUCUAGAUGCAUAAUAAUAUCUAUAAAUCUAGAAAAGUCAAAACGAGUCAGAAAGGAUGGAGUAAGAUGGUAUGAAGACGUAAGAUGUGCAUGUGCUACAUCAAAUCCAAAACUUGAUACUAAAUUCUUGCUCUCAAGUUUAGUUCCAGGUUUCUAAGUUCAGCUGAAACCAAGUUAAACUGUGAUUCUAUUCGAUCUAUUACUUAGAGCCUGUUUGGAUACCCUGUGUUAAAGCUUAACAAGUGUUAAAGUUUUAACACUCUCAAAUGGAGUGCUAAAGUUUAACACAUUGGGGUGUUUGGAUGGUGUGUUAAACUUUAACACCUUUGGUAGGAAAUGACUCCAUUGCCCUCUCAUUUAUGGCCGACGGAGAGAGAGGGAGGAGAGAGAAGGAGGCAAUGGUGGGAAAAAGUGGAGAAGGGGGACCACUUUUAAUAAGUUUAACAACUUUUAACACCUCCUUAAGGUGUUUAUGAAAUUGGAGAUGUUAAACUUUAACACAUUCCUUUUAACACAUGCCUUUAGGAGAUAAUGUGAUAAAAAUAUGUUAAAAAGUGAGGUGUUAAACUUUAACACCCUCUAUCCAACCAGGGCCUGAACUUACCCGCCACGGAAGGUAAAAGAUUGGUCAAUGCGAAAGGGUGGAAAUUGUUUGUUGUUUUGUGUUAAACACCCUCGUUAGCUCCGAAGAAAGUGUAGCCAGGACCUGAUUUUAAAUUGCAAGUUAGUACGAGGAGCUUAACCACAAAAGGACCCAUCCAGAUCCGACGCAUCCAGCUCACCCCGCAAUCAAUCUCGUCCGUCCAAUCCUUCCCAUCCGGACGCCUGCCGCCGCAACCCUAGACAUUGGCUUCCUUCCCCCGUCCCCUCCGCUGCGCCGCCAUCGCAUAAAUUCGCCUCCCUCUCCCACCGUAAACCCCUCCCUCUUCCUCCGGCGGCCUGCUCCUGCGAUCUGUGCUGCGGAUCUGCUGAGGCUGCAGCGGGACCAGUCGACAUGGCGCUCGUGAGUUCCUUCGCGCUUCCACCUCUGGGUUUUGUUCCUGCUGUUUCAGAAGUGGCUCUGUGGUUCAUCGCGCAUCGGACUGCCUGUGCGGAUCCUAUGGUGGCCGCGGCUGUUGGGCUGAUGGGGUUUUGAUGCUUGAGGAUUCAUGCCAUGUAGUUAGCUUGAUGUACGCGGGUCACUUGGGUGUGGAACCUGUAGAUGCGAACGGGGUGUGGUAGGCUGCCUAGAUCCUCGACUCUGCUUUCGGUCAGGCGUGUCUUCAGUGAAACAUCACCGAUCCCCUGGUUCGUUUCAACUUCAACAGCACCAAAAACUUCGGCCUUCAGAAAGUGCAGCGAUAGGUCAUUUGUCCGCUUCGCUUGUUUACAACCGGGGGUUAGGGGGGUGAUGCCUUAGUGCUAAUGAUGUGAUUCAGAGUCGCUGACCUACUAGUAGAAUGGUUGGGUGUGCAUUUGUAUAGGGCCUUUGACCUUUGAUCCAGGGUGAUCAUGAUAUUUUGGUAGGGUGUAUAACCGUUUUAUGUGCAACUCAAGUAGAAUAAUGUAUUUGAACCAUUGGAUUCAAUUAGGAGCUACUAUCUGGUCAUCCCAACCCAAGUCAUUUUAAGCUUCUGGUCCUUAGUUGUAAUUGAGUUGUAAGUUUUGAGGAAAUUGUUGCACACAUAGCAGUGCUCUUUUGGGUGACCUUGAAAGGAAAAUAAGGGUGUUUUAGAGUGUUUAUCAUGAUGCAGCUCAGCUACAGUGCGUAGGAGGAAUUGAAGUUGAGAGGUGAAGCAUGAAUUGUGGUUUAUUUUGAUAAUUUUGCAGUUAGGCAAUUCAAAACAAGUACUGUUUGCUAUUCUAGUCCCACCUGCACAUUCCUUUACCUAGUUGUAUUUCUAAACCAUCUUGAUUGGCUUAAUUUGCAUGAUAAAUGCUCCUAUGUCUUGUUGGGAAACAGAGAUUUCACUGACCAUUUCCGAGUAUAAACACACAAUCUGGGCAAUUGGUGUCUUUGCUUGUGUAUUUUUCCCUACUAUAGUGAAACACAUCUGUCAAGUGGAUAAUGUUUAUGUUCUGGUUCUUCACUUAGAUAAUGGUCUAGAUGUCAUUACUUGGCUUGCAUGUGUACCAUUAAAUUAACAUUCACAGAGGACUUCCAAUUUUUAACUCUAUGUCUAAUAUAAUUUUUGUUGCAUAGGUAUUGCAUUCUGGACCUGGAAACAAGAAUGCCUUCAAGGCACUUAUUGCUGCAGAAUACAGUGGGGUCAAGGUUGAGCUGACCAAGAAUUUUGAGAUGGGUGUCUCCAACAAGACCCCUGAGUUUCUUAAGAUGAACCCCCUUGGGAAGGUACAACAUACACCAACUACAUCUUCGAAAUAGUUAUGUAUAGAGGUUCAGGACCUAACAAUUUCAUUCAGGUUCCUGUUCUGGAGACUCCGGAUGGUGCUAUUUUCGAGAGCAAUGCUAUUGCACGCUAUGGUAUAUACUUAAUUCCACACUUUUGAAUUCUAAUUCUUUCUUUGACUUUCUGUUGAUGGUAACGAUGGCUCUGUUUUUCUUUUAAGUUGCUCGCUUGAAGGAUGACAACCCUCUUUUUGGGUCUUCUCGUAUUGAACAAGUGAGUGAUUUAUUGGAUGGUAGCAUACCCUGAUAAGUAAGUUUUAGGCAUAUAACCUCUGAACCUCAUCAAUGGUUCUUGCAGGCCCAUGUUGAGCAAUGGAUGGACUUUGCUGCAACCGAAGUUGAUUCUGGUGUUGCAUGGUACUUGUACCCAAGGCUUGGUUACAUUCCUUAUGCUCAGACGGUAAGUUGUUGGAUGGGUAACUUGGAUCUGUAUUAUUGAACAAGGAAUAGCUAGUCUAACCUUUUUGCUUGUGCAGACCGAGGAAACAGCUAUUGCCUCAUUGAAGAGAGCGCUUGGUUCUCUGAACACACACCUUGCCUCAAAGACAUUCCUUGUUGGGCAUUCUGUCACUCUAGCCGACAUUGUAUUGACAUGCAACCUCUACCAUGGAUUUGCACGGAUCUUGACCAAGAGCUUCACAUCUGAAUUCCCUCAUGUUGAGAGGUAUUUCUGGACUAUGGUUAACCAGCCUAACUUCAAGAAGGUCAUGGGUGAUGUCAAGCAGGCAGAGUCAGUGCCUUCUGUUCAGAAAAAGGCCGCUGCUCAGCCAAAGGCAAAGGAUGUCAAGAAAGAAGCCCCAAAGGAGGCCCCGAAGCCAAAGGUGGAGGCACCAGCAGAAGAGGAGGCACCAAAGCCGAAGCCGAAGAAUCCUCUUGACUUGCUGCCACCAAGCAAGAUGAUCCUCGAUGACUGGAAGAGGCUGUACUCAAACACAAAGACCAACUUCCGUGAGGUUGCCAUCAAAGGUAUCUAAUCCACCUUAUGUCAACAAUUCAUUUUAUUUUUCACUUCCAAUCAUUAAAUGUUAGUGGCUGGUGCUGAAGUCUCGUUUGCGGUCUAUCAAUGUUACACUGACACAAACUUGCAGUCCCUUCUGAAUUGGUUGCUUCAUUCCUGAGUAAAUUUUUGUGUGGCCCUUAUGAUAAAAAAAUAUUGUUGUUUGACAAUGAUAGUAUUAUACCUGUUUCUACAUGAGUCAACCACAGAUAGCUGCAAAGAUUUACACCAACUCAAACUAAUUCAGUGGUAAUGUAGCAUAUUAUGCAAGCUUUAAGAAGCAUAAUACUAUGUUAAUAUUUUAUGUUGCAACAGCAAUUUACAAUAAUCUAAGUAAAUUAAUUAGAUGAUUGUGCUGGAUUCAUGCUUCCAUGUGGAACUUUGACCAAAUCUUACGUGCUGUCUGUGUUUCAGGUUUUUGGGACAUGUAUGACCCUGAGGGCUACUCUCUGUGGUUCUGUGACUACAAGUACAAUGAUGAGAACACCGUCUCCUUUGUGACCAUGAACAAGGUUGGUGGGUUCCUGCAGAGGAUGGAUCUGUGCCGCAAGUACGCCUUUGGCAAGAUGCUUGUGGUCGGCUCUGAGCCCCCCUUCAAGUUGAAGGGGCUCUGGCUCUUCCGUGGCCAGGAGGUCCCCAAGUUUGUCAUGGAUGAGGUCUAUGACAUGGAGCUCUACGAGUGGACCAAGGUGGACAUCUCCGACGAGGCCCAAAGGGAGCGUGUUAGUGCCAUGAUCGAGGACCAGGAGCCU
rnacentral:lncRNA from 1 species